GAUAACUUUAAAGUGAUGAAAGAUGCUCUAAUAGUAGAGUUAUCAGAGAUAUCUUAUAUAUGUAUGACGACAGAUAGUUGGACACAUAACACAAGGUAUCGUGAAAGAAUUCUGCUCGUGGUAGUUGGGAAAUCUUUGGUCGAAAAGACAUAUUGUCUAAGGAUUGAGAUUUGACCUCUGAAAAUUUUUUACCAACGACCGGAUUUAAAUCCGUGCUCCCCCACCUCGAAGGAAAAAUGUCUCUCUUAAUGCCCCUCACAUAUUAUAAUAUAAAUUAAUCAGAUCCAAACCCAUAUUAUCGGAGGAAUGUGUUUGUUUUUUAUGCAUACAAAGAUCCCGGCCCUAGGAUCUAAUAAUUGACCAAACCAGCUCUGAGCAAGAACACUGAGCUCAAUUCCCGAUUACGAACCCUGAAUAAAAACCUUGAGCUGAGUCCAAGUAUAAACCCGGAAAACAAACCCUGAGUAGAGACCCCGAAUGCCGCUUCGAGCACAAACCACAAGCACGAUACACGAGCACAAACUCUGAUCACAAUCCUGGAGCAAUCUUAAGCACAAACAAGUACAAUCUCGGGGCAAGCACUCUCUA